GAAAAGAGAAGAGAAGAGAGUGGAGGGCUCGAAAUGUGGCGUAGUCGAAAAGUUAACUUCCUGUUAAGAAAGGGCCACUCCGCCAGAAACAGUACCGCACUGAUGUCACUCACAGCGUUUCUCGUCUAGGAGGAAGACCGACCCAUUGAGGACUUAGGAAACAGAAAACAGAGAUACAAAAAGAUACAAAAAUACAGGACAAAAAAUACCAAGAGACGUAUGGUGGCUCGGCUGAGCUCUGAGCGCCGCUAGCGUUUGGACAUGGCGGGCCCCUCAACAACGACGGGCCUUCUGGCUCUCUCCAUCCUCCUGGCCCUGGCUACACUUGGAGUCACACAAGGUAAGUAUCACUGAAAACUAAUCUACUGUCACUUAAUCUGUUCUUGAAAUCCAUAUUUACUUCUUAGGAGUUCUCAAUGUCUGUAUUUCCUGUUC